GCUAGCUGACUGUUUGUAAUUUGACCGAAAUGCAAGUUUAGAUAUUUGCUAUAGUGUUGAAAAUUUUGAACUAGGACGGUCUGAGGC